CAUAAAACUUAAAAGCAAUCAGGUAAUGAAAAACAAAGCUCAUUCAUAUGAUCAUCAUAAUACACCCCGUUCGCGCCAAGUUGGCGGCAUGGCAUUUUAUUUUUCUGCCGAACCACAUGGCGCAUGUUUCCCCAAUCUUCUUAAAGCUUUCUUUUCUUUUGCGCAUUUAUUGAGCAUAAACUUAAUCGAGUUUUGGUUAUGACAACGCGAGAAACACUUUCCAAAGCGAAGGCAUCGAUAGAGCGAGUCGUGGCAGUGAUGGAAAACAACCUAAUUCAACCAAAAAUCCAGGAACGAUUCUAGAUGCUUGGAAAUAAGAUUCCGCCUCGAUCAGCUCAACACUGGAAUCCAGAUCGUUGGUGCGACUUUCCUGACUAGAAGCGGAUGAUGCGCCGCGGAAUGUAUUCUGUCGGAACCAAAUCACACGUCGACUGGCCAUAAUCUGGUGGCGCGUCGGCGCUGAUUUCCGGUCUUUUGUUGGAAUAAUCUCCUUCGCAUCACAAUCAUCGUCCUCAUCGCUACCGGCGGACCGAACACCAUCAUCAUCGGUCAAAUCGUCGGAAUUAAAGGAGCCGUCAUCAUCCGAACCCUCGGUUACGGCGAUUUCUCCAUACAGUGUUGUCUGCUUGAACUUUUUUAAAGGUUCUGCUCGACCUACAAAUAAGUGCUUUAUUUUUUGGUCGAAAAUAUAUUUUCUAGGAAAUAUUGUACGAAAACCCGAAAAAAACUACCAACAAAAGCGUUCAAAUUAAAAAGCAGUUUAAAUAAAA